rnacentral:rRNA from 1 species
GGUGAACGCUGGCGGCGGGCCUAAUACAUGCAAGUCGAGCGAACAGACAAUAAGCUUUCUCCUCUAACGGUGGCGACUGACGGGUGGGUAACACGUGGAUAACCUUCUUAUAUUUCGUGGAGGACUUCGUAAGACCGGUUCUAAUACUGCAUCAUAUAUUCUACCGGUGAAUUCAAUAGUUAUUCACAGCUUUGGUGUCACAUAUAGAUGGUGUCGCAUUAGCUAGUUGGCGUGGUAAAGGCUCACCAAGGCAACGAUACGUAGCUGAUCUGAGAGGAUGAUCAGCCACACUGGAGCUGAGACACGGUCCAGACUCCUACGGGAGGCAGCAGUAGGGAAUAUUGGACAAUGGGCGAAAGCCUGAUCGAGCCAUGCCGCGUGAGUGAAGAAGGCCUUCGGGUUGUAAAGCCCUGUUAUUGGGGAAGAAAAGCAGUGUAAGUAACCCUCGCCGUUCUGACGGUACCUAAAGAGAAAGCACCGGCUAACUACGUG